ensembl:lncRNA
GAAGAGGACAGGACCUGGAAGUGUGAGGAGGACAGGACCAGGAAGUGUGAAGAGGACAGGACCUGGAAGUGUGAGGAGGACAGGACCAAGAAGUGUGAGGAGGACAGGACCAAGAAGUGUGAGGAGGACAGGACCAAGAAGUGUGAGGAGGACAGGACCAAGAAGUGUGAGGAGGACAGUGUGCAGUGUGAGGAGGACAGGACCAAGAAGUGUGAGGAGGACAGGACCAAGAAGUGUGAGGAGGACAGGACCAAGAAGUGUGAGGAGGACAGGACCAAGAGGUGUGAGGAGGACAGGACCAAGAAGUGUGAGGAGGACAGGACCAAGAGGUGUGAGGAGGACAGGACCAGGAAGUGUGAGGAGGACAGGACCAGGAAGUGCAGUGUGAGGAGGAUGUUCAAAGAGGUGUAGAAUAAACUUAAUAAAUAGGUUGGCUUGGUUUAUUCAUCACGUCAUUGUAGCUGCACUUAGAUGACAGACAGAUUGACACACACGCACACACACGCACACACACGCACACACACACACGCAGAGAGAGAGAACAGCACAAGACAGACGUCUUUAAAACAGCUAUUCUUUGUGGUCAGGCGCCAUGCUCAUUACCGGCUGACUAAAUUGCUGACAGGAAGUCAGAGGUCAACAGUCCCCUUUGACCCCAGGGCUGGCAGGGGUGAGGGGGAUUGAGUCCAGCAGACCAGACAAGACCAGCCUGAAGGAAGCAGAAGGGAGAGAAGUGUGACAGGACCAGGACGUGUAGUGUGAGUAGGACAGGACAAAAUGGCACCCUAUUAUAAGGACUAGUGUUCUAUCUGGGAGGCAGAUGGAGACUCUCAUGGUUGUGUUGUAUUGUAUAGUCAAAUCAAAUUUAAACAAAUGUUAUUUGUCACGUGCACCGAAUACAACAGGUGUAGACUUUACAGUGAAAUGCUUACGUACAAGCCAUUAACCAAAAAUGCAGUUUUAAGAAAAAUAAGUGUUAAGAAAUUAUUUAAUAAAAUAAACUGAAGUAAAAAAAUAAAAAAGUACAUAAAUGAAACAUUUAAAUUUAAAAGAAGAAAAUAGAAAAAUAACAAAUAAUUAAAGUGAGACAAUAAAAUAACAGUAGCGAGGCUAUAUACAGGCCCAGAUUAUAUACAGGCCCAGAUUAUAUACAGGCCCAGAUUAUAUACAGGCCCAGAUUAUAUACAGGCCCAGAUUAUAUACAGGCCCUGAUUAUAUACAGGCCCUGAUUAUAUCGAGGCCCAGAUUAUAUACAGGCCCAGAUUAUAUACAGGCCCAGAUUAUAUACAGGCCCAGAUUAUAUACAGGCCCUGAUUAGAUACAGGCCCAGAUUAUAUACAGGCCCAGAUUAUAUCGAAGCCCAGAUUAUAUCGGGGCCCAGAUUAUAUCGAAGCCCAGAUUAUAUCGGGGCCCAGAUAUUAUCGAGGCCCAUGUUAAAUCAAAUCAUUCACCCUCUUUACCAAACUAACAAUGACAAAUCCUUGAUGUGUCACAUUGUGAACCCAUAUCAAACUACAAAAAUCUCUGAAGCUGGAGACUCAUAUCUCC